rnacentral:lncRNA from 1 species
GUAGCACAUCUGUUCUUCUCUUUGAAUCUCUCAGACUCUUCCAAAGCCGAAGAAGGACAAGGAGGAAGAUGCGAUGAAGGAAAAUAGGAUGGAGAACUACUUUGUCUCUUGAUUUUUUUCCUCACCAAAAAUCCUAGAUCAAAUCUAGGACUCUCACCCAAGAGGAGGAAGACCUCAUCUAAUGUCACAUGCCAAAGAUGGCCACCCACCCCUAGACCUCACACCACACAGAAACCCUA